rnacentral:rRNA from 1 species
GAUGAACGCUGGCGGCGUGCCUAAUACAUGCAAGUCGAGCGAACAGACGAGGAGCUUGCUCCUCUGACGUUAGCGGCGGACGGGUGAGUAACACGUGGAUAACCUACCUAUAAGACUGGGAUAACUUCGGGAAACCGGAGCUAAUACCGGAUAAUAUAUUGAACCGCAUGGUUCAAUAGUGAAAGACGGUUUUGCUGUCACUUAUAGAUGGAUCCGCGCCGCAUUAGCUAGUUGGUAAGGUAACGGCUUACCAAGGCGACGAUGCGUAGCCGACCUGAGAGGGUGAUCGGCCACACUGGAACUGAGACACGGUCCAGACUCCUACGGGAGGCAGCAGUAGGGAAUCUUCCGCAAUGGGCGAAAGCCUGACGGAGCAACGCCGCGUGAGUGAUGAAGGUCUUCGGAUCGUAAAACUCUGUUAUUAGGGAAGAACAAAUGUGUAAGUAACUAUGCACGUCUUGACGGUACCUAAUAGAAAGCCACGGCUAACUACGUG